GCCGUAAUCGUCUAGUGGUUAGGACAUCAGUUUGUGGACCUACAAAGCCACUGGAAACCAAGGUUCGAUUCCUUGUUACGGCA
rfam:Escovopsis weberi scaffold00002, whole genome shotgun sequence.